rnacentral:lncRNA from 10 species
AUGACCUGUGCAGCAAACCACCAUGGCACACAUUUACCUGUGUAACAAACCUGCACAUCUUGGACAUGUACCCCUGAACUUAAAAAAAAAAGACAAAAAAUGUUUUAAAUGUGAAAACAACAAAAAAGAUAUGUUCGAGUGCUUACCCUCAGUACCUCAGAAUGUGAUGUUGUUUGGAAAUAAGAUUACUGCAAAUGUAAUCAGAUAAGAUAUGACAGAUGUCUUUAUAAGACCACAUGAAGACAGAGGGGAACACCAUAUGAAGACAAAGGAUUGAAGUAGUGCAGCUACAAGCCAAGGAAGGGAAACCACCAGAAGCUAGAAUGAG